rnacentral:siRNA from 1 species
ACGAUCUGGGCACUGUCUCGG